GGUCCUACAGGAAUUCCUUCCUUUGAGAAGUAUUCGUCAAGGAGACCUACUCUCGCCCUACAUCUUGAUUCUCUAUCUAGAACAUUUGUCCCAUCUUAUUCAAGCCGCGGUUGAUAACAAGUUUUGGAAACCCAUUCGCAUUAAUAAUUAAGAAGAGUCUUGAGCUUUCACACCUCUGCUUUUCAGAUGAUUUGGUCCUGUUUGCCGAAGCUAACUUGGAGCAGGAAGAUAUUAUCCACAAGGUUCUUGAAUCCUUUUGUAAUAGUUUCGGUCAGAGAGUUAGCAAGGAGAAAAUCAGAGUAUUUUUCUCACAAAAUGUUGGUUACGAUGCUAGAGUGGAGAUCAAUGAGAAACUGCAAUGUGCAAGAACCGAAGAUCUUGGGAAAUACUUAGGGGCUCCCAUUAUUCAUUCCAGACUCUAGAGUUACUAAAGAAACUUACAAAGAGAUUGAAGGCAAGCUUAAUCCAAGGCUCAACAACUGAAAAAUUUCGUCGCUCUUUCUAGCCAGAAGAAUCACCCUGGAACUUCAUUUGGGGAGAAUCGGAGCAAUCUAAGAAGGUGCACUGGUGAAUUGGAAGACCAUCAUUAAGCCGAAAUCUGCUGGUGGCUUAGGUGUCAGACACUUAAAAGGAUCUUAUUCAUGCGUAUAUGACGAAAGCUGGUUGGGGCUGAUUGAGAGAAAAGAUUUCUUAUAGACAAGAGUCCUAAGAGCUAAAUAUAAGUGUGAAAGUGAUAUUAUUCCCCAAGUGGAGAGAAGAACUGAUUCAAACAUGUGGAAGGGCAUAUGUUCAGCUUGGGAAGAUGUGGAAAAGAACACCAUUUGGCGCAUUGGUGACGGUUCUAAGUUUAAGUUUUGGACUCAUAAUUAGAUCCCGAAUUUGUGAUUGGGACAUAACUAGACUAAAAGAACAGCUGUUGGAUGAAGUGGUGAACAAGAUUUCUAGCCUAGCACCACCUUUUCCUUGGAAGAAUGCUGGCUACAAUGCGUGGACUCCCUUAUUGGAUGGUUCGUUCAGUUUAAAAACAGCUUAUCAAUCUAUCCAAUUAAUCAACGCUCCCAUGAUCGAACUUUCAAGUUAACAUGGAGCUGGCGAGAACGGAAAGGAUUAGAUCGUUUUUAUGGUGGUGGGACACAAUGCUUUACUGACCAAUGUGGAGCGUAGAAGGAGACACUUAACACAAGCUGCUCCAUGUUCAAGAUGUGAUACUAAUGAGGAGACUUGCCUUCAGGUGUUAAGGGACUGUCCAUUUGCUCCUUUCGUUUGGCAAUAUCUCAAACCACAAGACCACGUCAAGGAUUUCUUCAUUGUAAACAUUUUGUGUAUGCAUUAUUCAAGAUGAAUGAUUUAAUAGUUACGUGAUAUUUUUCACCAAUAUUAGUGAAAUUCUUAAGAAACGGCGAGAUAUUUCUU